GAUGAACGCUAGCGGGAGGCUUAACACAUGCAAGUCGAGGGGCAGCAUAGGGUAGCAAUACUCUGAUGGCGACCGGCAAACGGGUGAGUAACGCGUAUGCAACCUACCCUGUACAGGGGGAUAACCCGGAGAAAUUCGGACUAAUAUCCCGUAAUAAUAUCCGGAGGCAUCUUUGGAUAUUUAAAGUUCCGACGGUACGGGAUGGGCAUGCGUAACAUUAACUGGUUGGUAAGGUAACGGCUUACCAAGGCUAUGAUGUUUAGGGGUCCUGAGAGGGUGGUCCCCCACACUGGUACUGAGACACGGACCAGACUCCUACGGGAGGCAGCAGUGAGGAAUAUUGGUCAAUGGGCGCAAGCCUGAACCAGCCAUCCCGCGUGCAGGAAGACGGCCCUAUGGGCUGUAAACUGCUUUUCCAGGGAGAGAAACUUACGCACGUGUUGCGUGACUGACGGUACCCUGGGAAUAAGCAUCGGCUAACUCCGUGCCAGCAGCCGCGGUAAUCACGAG
rnacentral:rRNA from 1 species